UACGGAGGGGGUUAGCGUUGUUCGGAAUUACUGGGCGCAAAGCGAACGUAGGCGGCUUUCUAAGUCAGGGGUGAAAUCCCGGGGCUCAACCCCGGAACUGCCCUUGAAACUGGAAGGCUAGAAUCCUGGAGAGGCGAGUGGAAUUCCGAGUGUAGAGGUGAAAUUCGUAGAUAUUCGGAAGAACACCAGUGGCGAAGGCGACUCGCUGGACAGGUAUUGACGCUGAGGUUCGAAAGCGUGGGGAGCAAACAGG
rnacentral:misc_RNA from 1 species